UGUUAAUUUUAUGCCUUAUAUUAUGGUUUGUUACUAUAAUGUCAGUCUUUUCUCUCCUUUUUUGUUUCUUUUUAAUCUAGGUUUUGAUGAGAGCCCUCAAGGGAUUUUAAUCUUAUUAUGAUACUCACUAAUGAUGUCCUUAUAUUCCUGGGUCUCAUCAAUAGCUUGUUCCCCUUGCUGGAAGUUUCACGGAAAAGGGUUCUGAAGUUAGAACAGAUGGUGCAUCAGUCCAUUGCAGAAUUCUGUUUUCAGACAGAGGAAAACUUUAUAUUGAAGGGUCCAAGAAAAAGCACUAGUGAGACUGACAAAGAUGGCCUCUGUAAAGGAAGCUGAAGACCACUUUCUUGGACCUCAUUGCACCAACUUCUGUCAUACUUGACUUUUCAGCAGUCUAGCUACAUUCAAAAAAACCCUAUGGAAACACUGAACUUCAGGCACAUGCUGUGAAUGCUUUGAUUUCAGUGGAACCUUAAUCACAGGCUUAAAAUAUUAUGCUGAAUUUGGAUUGAAAUGCCUAAAAAAACACUCAAACAAAAUCCUACAGUCUGAUGUAGUGAAUUUCAUAGCAACACCUACAAAAUAAGGUUUGAUGCAUUAAUUUCCUUUGCAGAGAAACAGUGAUAGUGGUAUCAAAUGCCAUUCAUCAAUAAAAUAAAAACACUCUACUGAUUCCAACAUGCUAAGGUCCCUAAAUGGACUUUCAUGUGAGAUAUAUGUGUUCCUGUAGUGAUCACCAAGACAUAUAAAAUAUAAAUCAGUACACAGUAAAGCAUCUGUGACUUGGUAAGUGGUCUUUCUGUUCUACGCUCCUCUACAGUGCUGGUUAGUUAUGCCUUUGUGCCUUCCUCAGGCAUCACUGGUUUUUCUCACAUGGUGACUACAGUGACUGAGAUAAUUAACAGAGUUGCUAAUGUUUCAAAUUAAAUUAUAUCAAUUUCAGAGGAUCCAAAUUGGACUUGGAGCUUCUCAAUAGGAUGAAAAGUAAUCAAAGAAGAAGAGUGUCAAAAGUACUGGAGGGAUGGCCAGUGCUACAAAGAGGAAUGAUACAGCAGCCAGUCUGUUGUGAGUAGCUAGACCAGCUGAAUUUGCUACACAAUUCUCAAAAGUGGGUUGAAAUCCAGGGACAUGCUGGACACAUCCUACUGUCUGAUGAUCUAGUAACAGACCAGAUGGGGAAAGAGAACAAGAUAUCAAUUUGCAGCAUGGUAGGGCCCUUAGUAGGUGUUCAUACUCUUUGACCUAUUAACUGUUUCCCCUACCUCUUUCUUUACUUUUUUUUGCCACUGCUUCAUGACUAACAUCUGAAAGGCUUAUUGAGCCUUCUCCCCACCAGGCAUACAACCCCCCUUCUGUCUGCAGUCCUGGCUUGCUUAUUGAUGCUUCCAGUUAUGGAAACUAAGCUAUUUUAUAUUUUGCAGAUACUUCUUGGAAAAAAAAAAAAAAAAGAGGUGCAUGUAGUGAUUGUUUCUGUGGAUUUUCAUUUGGCCUAGGAUGAGAGAGCUCUAAGAAUCAAUUGAGGUCUGAGAGAAGCUGAUCUCCAUAGGGUGUUCAUCAAUUCUGCUAAGCCACAUCUUGCAAUAUGAGUGCAGAGACUCUCUGGUGGAAAGGUUUACUAUACUGAGUCCUAUUAACAUGCAUGGCAGUACUAUAUCUUAAGAUCAUAGCAUUUUAUUGAAAUUGCAGUAGGGAUGUCUGCCUUAUGUCAGGAAGAUAUAAGCAUCAGGGUACAUCAGUUCUGCCUUUCUUUCUCUGUGUUUAAAACACAUCUAGAUCCUUUUUAGCUCAACUCUUGGAUAAGUCCCAAGCGAUAUUUAUAAAAAGAGAGUUUCUGCAAAGAGCAGGGCUGGGCAGUAACUGCUUUCAGGGGACUGUGCACACUACAUGAUAAUAUAAGUUAGAAACAUCUGAAAACAUUGUGUCAACUCUAGCCCAACCUUGUCUAGAGAAAUAAAGCAAUUGUUUGAGAAUUUCCAUUUCUAUAUGUCACCUCUUUCUGAAGUAGCUUAGUUUAAAAUUCGCAAGAAGACAAUCCUUCUUUGUGCGUAUUCCUUCUCCUUCCCUUAAACAAAUGUUCCAGGAUUGUUACUGGGGAUGGGGAAUUCUUAAUACAAAUACUGGUUCUUUUUACAGUUUUUAGUGCUAUAGGAAUGUUUGUAAAAUAUAUCUGUCUGUGUGAGGUUAUCAGUUAUCUUUAAUCUUAAAAUCUUAUGACUGUUAGUUCUCACAACUAGAAACACUUCUGACUAUGACACUAUCUUUGUGAUUGGAAAUGCUGGAAUGAUCAGGUAAAAUAAAUUAUAUUUUCA